rnacentral:rRNA from 1 species
GAUGAACGCUGGCGGCGUGCCUAACACAUGCAAGUCGAACGGUAGCAGGUCUAGUUUACUAGAUGCUGACGAGUGGCGGACGGCUGAGUAACGCGUGGGAACGUGCCCUAAAGUGAGGGAUAACGCACCGAAAGGUGUGCUAAUACCGCAUAUGAUCUUCGGAUUAAAGAUUUAUUCGCUUUAGGAGCGGCCCGCGUCGGAUUAGGGUUGUUGGUGAGGUAAUGGCUCACCAAGCCGACGAUCCGUAGCUGGUCUGAGAGGAUGACCAGCCAGACUGGAACUGAGACACGGUCCAGACUCCUACGGGUGCUG